rnacentral:rRNA from 1 species
AUUGAACGCUGGCGGCAGGCCUAACACAUGCAAGUCGAACGAGUGGCGGACGGGUGAGUAAUUUCUGGGAAACUGCCUGAUGGAGGGGGAUAACUACUGGAAACGGUAGCUAAUACCGCAUACCAUCGGAUGUGCCCCGAUUGGAUUAGCUAGUAGGUGGGGUAAAGGCUCACCUAGGGGGCGAUCCCUAGCUGGUCUGAGAGGAUGACCAGACACACUUGAACGGAGACACGGUCCAGAAUCCUAAGGGAGGCAGCAGUGGGGAAGAUUGGACAAUGGGCGAAAGCCUGAUCCAGCCAUGCCGCGUGGGGGAAGAAGGUCUUCGGAUUGUAAAGGACUUUAAGGUGGGAGGCGUUAACAACAGAAUAAGCACCGGCUAACUUCGUGCCAGCAGCCGCGGUAAUAC